rnacentral:rRNA from 1 species
GACGAACGCUGGCGGCGUACCUAACACAUGCAAGUCGAGCGGGAACCUCAGGAGGGGUAACCCUCCUGAGGGGAGAGCGGCGAACGGGUGAGUAACACGUGGGCAACCUGCCCCGGACACCGGGAUAACCCAGGGAAACCUGAGCUAAUACCGGAUACUCCGGCGGGAUCGCAUGGUCGCGCCGGGAAAGCUCCGACGGUCCGGGAUGGGCCCGCGGCCUAUCAGCUUGUUGGUGGGGUAACGGCCCACCAAGGCGACGACGGGUAGCUGGUCUGAGAGGACGGCCAGCCACACUGGGACUGAGACACGGCCCAGACUCCUACGGGAGGCGGCAGUGGGGGAUCUUGCGCUAAUGCGCGAAAGCGUGACGCAGCGACGCCGCGUGGGGGAUGAAGGCCCUCGGGUUGUAAACCCCUUUCGGCAGGGACGAAGCGAAAGUGACGGUACCUGCAGAAGAAGUCCCGGCUAACUACGUGCCAGCAGCCGCAGUAAUAC